UCUGGAGCUUAUAGCUCCUCCGGAGUUACGGAAAAAGAAAAAGACGGAGAGGCGUCGUCAGUGAUGACGGCGGACUCCGACAGCGAUUGACUGACAAUCGGGUCAUCAGCUGAAGAAAACGACGUGAGAUUCAAAACAGGAUGAAGCCAUGCUUCUUGUCUGCUGCAAUUAUAUAACGCAUUAUCCUUUGGCACUGACAAAGGUUGAAGUGCAGUCCCUUAGCUCAGUUGGUUAGAGCGCUACACUGAUAAUGUAGAGGUCGGCAGUUCAACUCUGCCAGGGACUACAGAAAACGAGAGAACAUUGACAUACUGGAAGAAAGGAAACGUCAACUGCAAGACGGAAGUCUUCGGAAGACGUGACCGAGAAAAAUAAACGAGUAAAUCAGAAACGAGCGAUCGGGCGACCUAAAAAAGGUAAGUUCGAACGACGAAGCGACGGACGGCGGAGUAGAAAUAUUCCGCAGGUCAAGCGACAGAACAAGGAAAGGAGAAAAGGGCACAUGAAGGAUGCCUAGGCUCUUGGAGACGAUGAAGGACGUGACAAGCUGCGAAAAGCCGCGGUUAGGGGCAAAUACCCAUUGACCCGCGGAUGUC
rnacentral:sRNA from 1 species